ACGUAGGGUGCGAGCGUUAAUCGGAAUUCUGGGCGUAAAGCGUGCGCAGGCGGUUAUGUAAGACAGAUGUGAAAUCCCCGGGCUCAACCUGGGAACUGCAUUUUGUGACUGAUGGCUAGAGUACGGUAGAGGGGGAUGGAAUUCCGCGUGUAGCAGUGAAAUGCGUAGAUAUGCGGAGGAACACCGAUGGCGAAGGCAAUCCCCUGGACCUGUACUGACGCUCAUGCACGAAAGCGUGGGGAGCAAACAGGAUUAGAUACCCGCGUAGUCC
rnacentral:rRNA from 1 species